rnacentral:sRNA from 1 species
UCCUAACCCCGAUCGCAGCGGCAUCCUUUAUCCCGGGAGCGUCCGGGAUAAAGAUACAGCGGAGAGCGGGCUGCCAU